UGGGGAAUCUUGCGCAAUGGGCGAAAGCCUGACGCAGCAACGCCGCGUGCGGGAAGAAGGCUUUCGGGCUGUAAACCGCUUUCAGUAGGAACGAAACUGACGGUACCUACAGAAGAAGGAGCGGCCAACUAUGUG
rnacentral:rRNA from 1 species